GGAUCUUGCACAAUGGGGGCAACCCUGAUGCAGCGACGCCGCGUGGGCGAGGAAGGUCUUCGGAUCGUAAAGCCCUUUUCUGCGUGACGAGGAAGGACGGUAGCGCAGGCAGAAGCGUCGGCUAACUACGUGCCAGCAGCCGCGGUAAAACGUAGGACGCGAGCGUUAUCCGGAGUUACUGGGCGUAAAGGGCGGGCAGGCGGGUGAGCAAGUCACGCGUGAAAGUCUUCGGCUCAACCGGGGGAGAGCGGGUGAUACUGCCCAUCUAGAGGGCGCUAGAGGGACACGGAAUUCCGGGUGUAGUGGUGAAAUGCGUAGAGAUCUGGAGGAACACCAGUGGCGCAGGCGGUGUUCUGGGGCGCACCUGACGCUGAGACGCGAAAGCAUGGGGAGCGAACGGG
rnacentral:rRNA from 1 species